CGUGGUCAACCCCUGGACAUCUGGCCACACUGUUCCUUCCAUUGGAAGGCAGGGAGAAAACAUCAUUAUGAAAUGCACCUUAAUGUGUCACCCUAAACUGACCACAAUAUCAGCCUUCAAGAACUCUACAUCUAACCUCCUUGAACAUGUUGAGGUGUUUUGCUGUUCGUCUGUCUCGUCCCCCGGAUACAGGCUGAAUCCCCGAAUCCAGAGGAAGCACCCAGGGAAAAUGCAACUCUACCGAGUGUGCAUGUCAAGAUCCAAGACCCAAGAACCAAGACCCCAAAAUACUGGGAAUGCAGUGCAGGCCAAACUUCCUGCAAGGAUGGUAGUUUCCCAGAUAAAUGUGGACAAACUCUACACGAAGACGCAUGAGAUGAGAGACGCGUAUGUGAAUCAGGUGACGAUCAAGCAUUUGGAAGUGAAGCAUUUCUCUCAGAAUGGUUCAGAGGGCAGUGUUGGGCAGUGCCCCAAUGCUAAUCCAACGAACACGUGGUGUAGCACCGACAUCCAGUGCGUAAUGGCGGACCAUACGGCCUUGUCAACCAUGUGGAAGUGGGCUAUAUGUCUUAUGUGUCGGGAUGUCCCUUUUUCUUUUAUCUGCCUAUAUGUCGUAUCUAAGUGGGAUCCUUGGAAGGAUACUGCAUGGAUAAAAUUAUGUUCAAUGUUUUAUGUGUCUUUUGUGUGGGUCUUUGUUAUGUACCGUCAUGAGCACACUGAAACAAAUCCCUAGCAACUUGUACAGAGUUGUAUGGCAAUAAAGUAUUGAAUCUUGAA
ensembl:lncRNA